UACGAAGGGGGCUAGCGUUGUUCGGAAUUACUGGGCGUAAAGCGCACGUAGGCGGACUAUUAAGUCAGGGGUGAAAAGCCCGGGGCUCAACUCCGGAACUGCCUUUAAGACUGCAUCGCUUGAAUCAUGGAGAGGUCAGUGGAAUUCCGAGUGUAGAGGUGAAAUUCGUAGAUAUUCGGAAGAACACCAGUGGCGAAGGCGACUGACUGGACAUGUAUUGACGCUGAGGUGCGAAAGCGUGGGGAGCAAACAGG
rnacentral:rRNA from 1 species